AUUGAACGCUGGCGGAAUGCUUUACACAUGCAAGUCGAACGGUAGAGGGGGCAACCCCUUGAGAGUGGCGAACGGGUGAGUAAUAUAUCGGAACGUGCCCAGUCGUGGGGAUAACGUAGCGAAAGUUACGCUAAUACCGCAUACGAUCUACGGAUGAAAGCGGGGGGACUCGCAAGAGCCUCGCGCGAUUGGAGCGGCCGAUAUCAGAUUAGGUAGUUGGUGGGGUAAAGGCUCACCAAGCCAACGAUCUGUAGCUGGUCUGAGAGGACGACCAGCCACACUGGAACUGAGACACGGUCCAGACUCCUACGGGAGGCAGCAGUGGGAAUUUUGGACAAUGGACGCAAGUCUGAUCCAGCCAUUCCGCGUGCAGGAUGAAGGCCUCGGGUUGUAAACUGC
rnacentral:rRNA from 1 species